GCCUGGGUGGCUCAGUCGGUUGAGCAUCUGACUUCAGCUCAGGUCACGAUCUCACAGUUUGUGGGUUCAAGCCCCAUAUCUAGCU
rnacentral:tRNA from 1 species